rnacentral:rRNA from 1 species
AGUAACGGCGAGUGAAGCGGCAACAGCUCAAAUUUGAAAUCUGGCCCCUAGGGCCCGAGUUGUAAUUUGCAGAGGAUGCUUUUGGCGAGGUGCCUUCCGAGUUCCCUGGAACGGGACGCCAUAGAGGGUGAGAGCCCCGUCUGGUUG